GCUAGUGGCAGCGGGAGCGGCAGCAGCAGCGGCGGUGGCGUUUGCAUUUCUUACAUUUGGCAGGAGGAAGAAACUGGCUAUCCCAUCGCUGGCGGGCAAGCACGUCUUUAUCACAGGAGCUUCCAGCAGCAUUGGGCUCGCCAUUGCCAAGCAGGCCCUCCUCCAAGGGGCAUUUGUUACCAUCUCGGCCAGGAACCAGCUCAAGCUCGACAAGGUGGCUCAAUCUCUUGUGAGUGAAGUGCACUGCAACAGCCCAUCAAAGUUUUGUCAAAAGGUGGCACACCAUCUUCACUUUGGAAAACUAUUGCAACAUCAUUAGUUUGUGGAGUAUUAUAUUGAUGGUCUAUGCCUUCAUUUUUAAUGAGCAUAUAUACUCCACGUAAA